rnacentral:rRNA from 1 species
ACUCCUACGGGAGGCAGCAGUGGGGAAUAUUGCACAAUGGGCGCAAGCCUGAUGCAGCCAUGCCGCGUGUAUGAAGAAGGCCUUCGGGUUGUAAAGUACUUUCAGCAGUGAGGAAGGCGGGUACGUUAAUAGCGUGCUUGUUUGACGUUAGCUGCAGAAGAAGCACCGGCUAACUCCGUGCCAGCAGCCGCGGUAAUACGGAGGGUGCGAGCGUUAAUCGGAAUUACUGGGCGUAAAGCGCAUGCAGGCGGCCUGUUAAGUCAGAUGUGAAAGCCCGGGGCUUAACCUCGGAAUUGCAUUUGAAACUGGCAGGCUAGAGUCUUGUAGAGGGGGGUAGAAUUUCAGGUGUAGCGGUGAAAUGCGUAGAGAUCUGAAGGAAUACCAGUGGCGAAGGCGGCCCCCUGGGACAAAGACUGACGCUCAGAUGCGAAAGCGUGGGGAGCAAACAGGAUUAGAUACCCUGGUAGGAUAGCG